AAAACGGCCCUUUUCAGGGCCACCAAAUAUUGAAAUGUUACG
rfam:Picea glauca, whole genome shotgun sequence.